AUUGAACGCUGGCGGCAGGCCUAACACAUGCAAGUCGAGCGGAGCGGCGGACGGGAGAGUAAUGCCUAGGAAUCUGCCUGGUCGUGGGGGAUAAAGUUCGGAAAGGGACGCUAAUACCGCAUAGGAUCAGAUGAGACUAGGUCGGUUUAGCUAGUUGGUGGGGUAAUGGCUCACCAAGGCGACGAUCCGUAACUGGUCUGAGAGGAUGAUCAGGCACCCUGGAACUGAGACACGCUCCAUACUCCUGCGGUAGGGCGCAGUGGGGAAUAGUGGACAAUGGGCGAAACCAUGGUCCAGCCAGGCCGCGUGUGUGAAAAAGGUCCUCGGAUUGGAAAGCACGUUAAGUUGGGAGGCGUUACCGACAGAAUAAGCACCGGCUAACUCUGUGCCAGCAGCCGCGGUAAUAC
rnacentral:rRNA from 1 species